rnacentral:misc_RNA from 1 species
UAAAAUGAUGGUUAGGCCCAAAUUAGAACAAAUUUUCCAAACAUAUAAAUCAUCCUAAACCAUGAUCCAACAUAGUGUUAUUCUAUACUAGACUAAGCCUAUAACCAAUUGGAAAUUACAAAAUCUCCAGCAUUUGUUUUAAAAUCCAAAACCCACAAAAUACAAAUGCUAAAACUACAGAAAACAACGUCUGAUGUCAAAAAAGGAGCUCAAAACGAUACCAAUUUUUUUUAGCAUACCAUUCAAGACAAUGCGACACCAACUUGAAACUAGUGAGAGACAAGUAGGGACCCAUAAUAAGAUAGCAGUAGAAUUAGGGGGAAAAAAAUAAACAAGUGGAAUACAGACCAUGAUGAGAGUAUA